rnacentral:lncRNA from 1 species
CUCAUUCAAACCAGGGAAGAUAAUUACCUGUAGGUUUCCAUCGCUUCAGAUGUAAAAAGAAACAUCCAAAGAUGUGAAAAGAAGCAGAUCUCUGCAUAAAGAGUUCACUGUAGAUUUUUGUCCAAAAAAAGGCAAUGGGAGAGCAA